rnacentral:rRNA from 1 species
UACGUAGGUGACCAGCGUUGUCCGGAUUUACUGGGCGUAAAGAGCGCGCAGGCGGUCGUUCAAGUCGAGUGUGAAAGCCCCCGGCUCAACUGGGGAGGGUCACUCGAUACUGAUCGACUGGAAGGCAGGAGAGGGAAGCGGAAUUCCCGGUGUAGUGGUGAAAUGCGUAGAUAUCUGGAGGAACACCGGUGGCGAAGGCGGCAUCCUGGACCGGUAUUGACGCUGAGGCGCGAAAGCCAGGGAGCAAAGCGGG